UUUGGUGUACCAUCCAAAACUUUCGAGAGCCAAUUUUGAGCGGAGCUGAUCACACCGACUAAUCUAGUGUGUACCACUACUGCUAUCAUCGGAUCAAUCAAUGAACACAUUCUGCCAGAUAGAGAGCGGCCAAAACCGAGUGUAGGAUGAUCCGGUGCACAUGCACUAUCCACACCGGAGGAUCCGGUGUGACUAUGCAAACAGUGACCACAGUCCACCAACUAAUUUGGUGACAGACACUAGUCACCGGAACAUAUGGUGAAGCUAUCCUGUGCAUUCUAAGUGUACAACUCGUCCAAUUCAAUUUCUUUUAAGUUUUGACUUAGCUUCCUCAUAUCCUAGGGCUUCCACUGAGCUACCUUGCUCUUAGUUUCACAAGUGUGCAUCCACUCAACUCAAAACCUAGGUCAAUAUACUCUUCGCCCCCCUCCCCCCCCCCCCCCAAAUAGUAUCUACACUACUCCAAGCCCCC
rnacentral:lncRNA from 1 species